rnacentral:rRNA from 1 species
GACGAACGCUGGCGGCGUGCCUAACACAUGCAAGUGGAGCGACGAACCAGGCUUCGGCCUGGGGCUAAGCCGCGAACGGGUGAGUAACACGUGGGCAACCUGCCCCGAUGACUGGGACAACCCGAGGAAACUCGGGCUAAUACCGGAUGUGCUCCGCCGGCUGAAGCCGGCGUGAGUAAAGGAAGCUUCGGCCUCCGCAUCGGGAGGGGCCCGCGGCCCAUUAGCUAGUUGGUGAGGUAACGGCUCACCAAGGCAACGAUGGGUAGCUGGUCUGAGAGGACGAUCAGCCACACUGGGACUGAGACACGGCCCAGACUCCUACGGGAGGCAGCAGUGGGGAAUCUUGCGCAAUGCGCGAAAGCGUGACGCAGCAACGCCGCGUGGGGGAAGAAGGCCUUCGGGUUGUAAACCCCUUUCAGGAGGGACGAAGGUGCGGCGGCGAACAGCUUGCCGUACUGACGGUACCUCCAGAAGAAGCCCCGGCUAACUACGUGCCAGCAGCCGCCGUAAUAC